CUCAACCGCAAGGAGGGGGAUGCCUAAGGCAGGGCUAGUGACUGGGGUGAAGUCGUAACAAGGUAGCCGUACCGGAAGGUGUGGCUGGAUCACCUCCUUAAAGGGAGACCUAAUUCAGGUAGGAGACGAAAAAAAAGUAGUCCCUACCAAGAAUCAAUCCCAAAAGGUCGGAGCGAGGCAAAAUUGGCUUUCAAACUAGGUUCUGGGUUCACACAAGACCUGAAUCAGGAACAAGGGCUAUUAGCUCAGGUGGUUAGAGCGCACCCCUGAUAAGGGUGAGGUCCCUGGUUCGAGUCCAGGAUGGCCCACCUGUACAGGUGGCAAAAAGAAAGAAAAGAAGCGAGGAAUCAGCACCUGAUCUUACUUAUAUAGUAAGAGAGAAUGCUGGCUCUGAGUUCAGAGUCCAGAGGAACCUUGAAAACUGCAUAGAGCUAGGUGAAAAAGCCAAAAAAGAAGACCGCAAGGUCAAGCUAAUAAGGGCUAACGGUG
rnacentral:sRNA from 1 species